rnacentral:rRNA from 1 species
UACGUAGGGUGCAAGCGUUAAUUGGAAUUACUGGGCGUAAAGCGUGCGCAGGCGGUUUUGUAAGUCUGUCGUGAAAUCCCCGGGCUCAACCUGGGAAUUGCGAUGGAGACUGCAAGGCUAGAAUCUGGCAGAGGGGGGUAGAAUUCCACGUGUAGCAGUGAAAUGCGUAGAGAUGUGGAGGAACACCGAUGGCGAAGGCAGCCCCCUGGGUCAAGAUUGGACGCUCAUGCGACGAA